rnacentral:rRNA from 1 species
GACGAACGCUGGCGGCGUGCCUAAUACAUGCAAGUUGAGCGAUGAAGAUUGGUGCUUGCACCAAUUUGAAGAGCAGCGAACGGGUGAGUAACGCGUGGGGAAUCUGCCUUUGAGCGGGGGACAACAUUUGGAAACGAAUGCUAAUACCGCAUAAUAACUUUAAACAUAAGUUUUAAGUUUGAAAGAUGCAAUUGCAUCACUCAAAGAUGAUCCCGCGUUGUAUUAGCUAGUUGGUGAGGUAAAGGCUCACCAAGGCGAUGAUACAUAGCCGACCUGAGAGGGUGAUCGGCCACAUUGGGACUGAGACACGGCCCAAACUCCUACGGGAGGCAGCAGUAGGGAAUCUUCGGCAAUGGACGAAAGUCUGACCGAGCAACGCCGCGUGAGUGAAGAAGGUGUUCGGAUCGUAAAACUCUGUUGGUAGAGAAGAACGUUGGUGAGAGUGGAAAGCUCAUCAAGUGACGGUAACUACCCAGAAAGGGACGGCGAACUACGU